rnacentral:rRNA from 1 species
GAUGAACGCUGGCGGCGUGCCUAAUACGUGCAAGUCGAGCGAACGGACGAGAAGCUUGCUUCUCUGAUGUUAGCGGCGGACGGGUGAGUAACACGUGGAUAACCUACCUAUAAGACUGGGAUAACUUCGGGAAACCGGAGCUAAUACCGGAUAAUAUUUUGAACCGCAUGGUUCAAAAGUGAAAGACGGUCUUGCUGUCACUUAUAGAUGGAUCCGCGCUGCAUUAGCUAGUUGGUAAGGUAACGGCUUACCAAGGCAACGAUGCAUAGCCGACCUGAGAGGGUGAUCGGCCACACUGGAACUGAGACACGGUCCAGACUCCUACGGGAGGCAGCAGUAGGGAAUCUUCCGCAAAGGGCGAAAGCCUGACGGAGCAACGCCGCGUGAGUGAUGAAGGUCUUCGGAUCGUAAAACUCUGUUAUUAGGGAAGAACAUAUGUGUAAGUAACUGUGCACAUCUUGACGGUACCUAAUCAGAAAGCCACGGCUAACUACGUG